rnacentral:rRNA from 1 species
UAGUAACGGCGAGUGAAGCGGGAAGAGCUCAAGACGAAAAUCCCCUUUCGGGGGGAGUUGUGGUCUAUGGAUGUUUUACUGUGUUCCGGCUGCAGAUCAAGUCCCUUGGAAUAGGGCGCCAGAGAGGGUGAAAGCCCCGUCCCCUUGCAGCACUGGUCACUAUAUGUAAGGCACUCCGCGAGUCGGGUUGUUUGGGAAUGCAGCCCUAAUGGGGAGGUACGCACCUUCCAAAGCUAAAUAUUCAGGCAAGAGACCGAUAGCGAACAAGUACCGUGAGGGAAAGUUGAAAAGCACUCUGGAGAGAGAGUGAAAAGUACGUGAAACCAUGGGUAGGGAACCGCUUGCACGGUACACUGAGUUGCCUGGCUUUCGAGCCAGGUUGACCGCCCAGCACCAGUUCGACACGCCGGAAAAAGCCUACACGAAGGUAGCGACAUCUCCUAGAGGAGUCGUGUUAUAGCGUGUGGGCAUAUACGGUGUGGGUGGACUGAGGACAGCGGCACCUCAUUUUAUGAGCGCUGGCAUAUCAUGGGCCUUUCCGGACAGACUGUAGAGACAGCAUGCUGACUAUACGGGACUAGCUGGGAGCCACCUAUGGGUGUACAGUGAAGUUGCCAAGGGUAGCUGGGAAGUGCUGAACAAGCGACCCGUCUUGAAACACGGACCAAGGAGUCUAACUCGUAUGCGAGUCACUGGGUUGCUAAACCCACGGGCAGAAUGAAAGUGAGGACAUUAGUCCCUGGUAUGAUCCCCUUCUUCGGAGGGGGUGCAAUAUCCGCCGGCCAGUCGCUCUUUAGGGUGGUUGGACUGAGCGUGAGCAUAUGGGCUAGGACCCGAAAGAUGGUGAACUAUACUUGGGUAGGGCGAAGCCAGGUGAAAACCUGGUGGAGGCUCGUAGCGGUUCUGACGUGCAAAUCGAUCGUAGAACCUGAGUAUAGGGGCGAAAGACUAAUCGAACCAUCUAGUAGCUGGUUUCCGCCGAA